UUACGGCCACAUCACGUUGAAACACUGCUUCCCAUAUGAUCACUGGGUUAAGUAAUGUUGAUCCUGGUCAGUACUGAGAUGGGUGACUGCUUGGGAAUUCCAGGUGCUGUAAG